GUUUGCGUUACGUUACUGCGCUUAGACAUUUGGUGAGCAUGGCGGUAACCUUAACAUUCCUUUUUCAAACCCUAAUCUUUAGGGAUAAAAAAUCAUUGAUCAAAUCCAAUUCAAACCACACUAAGCGCAUUGUUCAACUUCACAUGUUCCUCAGUUCCUUUUUUAUUGAAAAAUUGAACCAUCCUCUUUCAUUUUCUCGGUCAUUUGUUUGGAUAAAAUCCGUUUCUUUCUCUUGUUUAAAUUUGUUGUCACUGAACAGAAACAGUGUGUGAAUAUUGGAAAUCUGGGAAUCACUCCAAAUUAUGGAUUAGGGGGUAAAUCGGCUCAACGGGCUUCGAGAAGUAUGGAAAAUCAAGUGCAAUUGCAGUCAUAAGUUCCCGGUUUGAAACCAACCAGUCAGUCUACUUGAAUUUUGUUUUCGACAGUAGAUGUUAUCUUCGUAGCAGUAGAAAUGGGGGAAAAGGAAGGAUCUGGUUCUGGGAAUUUGAAGUUGUCUCGGCCUACAGUUGCUGAGAAAUUCUGGGAUGGCUCCCUUAAGCUUAAUUCUUCUGUAACUGUGUCGGUCGUUGCCUUCUUCAAAAGUGGUGAGAAGAUGCCUGAUAUCAAGUGGUCUGAACUUGUAGAAGUCAAAGGAAAAGUUAGAUUAGAGGCUUUUGAGAAAUAUAUUCAGGAGCUUGCUCGCUCACGCAAUAGAGGGUUGAUGGUAGUAUCACUCUGCUGGAAAGAAGGGUCUUCUAGAUCAGGACUGGUAGGUUUGAAUGAGAUUGCCAAAGGGUACAAGAAAGGGGAAAGAGUGGGGUUUGCUCAACUCUCACCUGGUAUUGAUCUUUACAUAUGUCCUCGCAGUGAUGCCAUAAUCACCAUACUUGCAAAACAUGGAUUCUUCAAGGGCAUGGCUGCUGUUGAAGACAAGAAAAAUUCAUUAAUUGGUUGUGUUGUUUGGAGAAGAAACCAUGGACUUUCAAGUUCUGUCACAAAGAAGCUUGAAAAAAAGCAUUCUUCUUCGACAGAGCAGCCACUGAGUUCCCAAUCUGAUGAAAAGGUUUCUGCAAAGGACUUACCUUGCACUCAAUCUGCUAAAGAAUCGCCCCGAAUAACAUGCACAAGCAUUGAGAGUGCUGUAAUUAAUAGAAAUGAAGGUGACAAUGUGGGGAGUAGUGACAGCCAACUGAAACUGCAUACUUCUCCUGCCAGUGCUGAUCUCCCGCUUAAGACUUCAGCAUUGAGCCACUUAUCAGGUAUUUCACUAGGACUUCAAACAUCAUCCUAUUCUGAUUCUGUCCCUUCCUUAAGGCCCAAGGGGCAGUCUUCUCUAAAUGAAAUGCCUCAUGUAGAUACCUCAGGACCGGAGGAAACUAAAUCUGUUUUGGGACAUCAAAAUCCUGUAAUAUCUCUGCCAUCAGUUAUUAUAAAAGAGCUUCCUGCCAUUGAUGAUGAUGAUCUUCCAGAAUUUGAUUUUGGGGCUGAGUGUGGCAUAUCUAGAACUCCAAGAAGCAAGGUUUUCGAUACAGCAGUGUUUGACAAGAAUGUUGUGGUUGAAGGAUUAAAGAAAGUUGUUGCGUCAGUGCCAUUGUCUUCACCAACUACACAGUCACUACCUGCUCAGUGUAAAAGGAGAGCAGAAGAUAUCCUUUCUCCUCAGUUUGCAUUCAACAGUUGUCUCAACUUGCCUCCAGGAAAUAAAGCUUCUAAACUUGCUCCAGUUCUACAAGCAAAACAUACUGUCAAAAGCAGCUCAGUCUUCACACCUGUUAUCACUAGUAUGGUUGCACCACAAAAGAAUAUUUUCGAUGAUGAUGAUGAUGACAUGCCUGAAUGGUGUCCGCCGAAUGUAAAGCACACAUUUCUUGAAUCAGCAACGGUAGCAAGAACUUCUAUCCAUCCUACUUUAUCAAACUCAAAGUUAGUAUGUUCAUUUCCAGGUCAGCCAAGUCUCACAUUCUCUUCUUCAGCUUGUCAAUUGCCUCCUCUCCAAAGAUCCAUUUAUGCAAAUCAGUCUCCAAUGACUGCCUCUGCAGAACCACCACAACCAAGACAAACUGAUAGAUACCUACGAAGGGCUCCAAGUUCUUUGAUGGGAUCCAAUUCCAGCCAUCUUUUGAGGCCACCUAUCCACCCUCCUCAAUGGAAGGGCAAGGGGAGAUGAAACCAGCAAACUGUUAAAAUAUGUGAGAUAGUUAAAGCACUGUAUAGAGCUUGCUCCAAAAGGGGAUGGAUGAUGACUUCAAAGAAGCUAUAAGGCCAGAAGAGUAGCAGCUAUCAAGGGUUUAAUUCUCCAAAAUCAUAAGCCUGUCUUAUCUACUUGACUAUUUAAUUUUCUCGCAUAAGCUUCUCUUUUCUUAAAGGUAAAGUCAAAUAUUCAUUAAUCGAAAGAGAUGAGAAAACAAAGGAACGAAUAGGAGUGAAGGACAACCAUAUUCAAGCUAAUAGGCUUAUCCUAUACAUUCGUUCAUUGGUCACGUUAUUAGAGCUAUCUGACAAUAAAAUAGAGGUAAGACGAUUAGGACAAAGCUCCCAAAUGUGAUGGUCUGCAUAAAAUAAAACCGCCCUAGUGGGAGUAUGAGCUGCAUUCGUGAGUCCAAUGGAAGACCACAUGUUAAAAGUGAUCCUUUAAAUGUAAACAAUCCUAAAUCGAAAGACCAAAUCCUGAAAGAUCCGAAGAAGAAA